UAGAAACUGCCUGUGCAGAUGCCAUGU
rnacentral:piRNA from 1 species